rnacentral:lncRNA from 1 species
AUGCUAAUUUACCUCAUGCUGGUUCUGCUGAUGCUAAUUUACCUCAUGCUAGUUCAGCUAAUGCUAGCUCUGCUGAUGCUAAUUUACCUCAUGCUAGUUCAGCUAAUGCUAGCUCUGCUCAUGCUAGUUCAGUUAAUGCUAACUCUGCUGAUGCUAAUUUACCUCAUGUUGGUUCAGCUAAUGCUAGCUCUGCUCAUGCUAGCUCUACUCAUGCUAGUUGAGCUAAUGCUAGCUCUACUCAUGCUAGUUCACGUAAUGCUAACUCUACUCAUGCUAGUUCAGCUAAUGCUAGCUCUACUCAUGCUAGUUCAGGUAAUGCUAGCUCUACUCAUGCUAGUUCAGCUAAUGCUAGCUCUGCUGAUGCUAAUUUACCUCAUGCUAGUUCAGCUAAUGCUAGCUCUACUCAUGUUAGUUCAGCUAAUGCUAGCUCUACUCAUGCUAGUUCAGUUAAUGCUAGCUCUACUCAUGCUAGUUCAGGUAAUGCUAGCUCUACUCAUGCUGGUUCAGUUAAUGCUAGCUCUACUCAUGCUAGUUCAGGUAAUGCUAGCUCUACUCAUGCUAGUUCAGCUAAUGCUAGCUCUGCUGAUGUUAAUUUACCUCAUGCUAGUUCAGCUAAUGCUAGCUCUACUCAUUUUAGUUCAGCUAAUGCUAGCUCUACUCAUGCUAGUUCACAUAAUGCUUACUCUACUCAUGCUAGUUCAGCUAAUGCUAGCUCUACUGAUUCUAAUUUACCUCAUGCUAGUUCAGCUAAUGCUAGCUCUACUCAUGCUGCUUCAGUUAAUGCUAGCUCUACUCAUGCUAGUUCAGCUAAUGCUAGUUCAGCUAAUGCUAGUUCUACUCGUGCUAGCUCUGCUCAUGCUUGUUCAGUUAAUCCUAGCUCUACUCAUGCUAGUUCAGGUAAUGCUAGCUCUACUCAUGCUAGUUCAGCUAAUGCUAGCUCUACUCAUGCUAGUUCACGUAAUGCUAACUCUACUCAUGCUAGUUCAGCUAAUGCUAGCUCUACUGAUUCUAAUUUACCUCAUGCUAGUUCAGGUAAUGCUAGCUCUACUCAUGCUGGUUCAGUUAAUGCUAGCUCUACUCAUGCUGGUUCAGUUAAUGCUAGCUCUACUCAUGCUAGUUCAGCUAAUGCUAGCUCUACUCAUGCUAGUUCAGUUAAUGCUAGCUCUACUCAUGCUAGUUCAGGUAAUGCUAGCUCUACUCAUGCUGGUUCAGUUAAUGCUAGCUCUACUCAUGCUAGUUCAGGUAAUGCUAGCUCUACUCAUGCUAGUUCAGCUAAUGCUAGCUCUGCUGAUGUUAAUUUACCUCAUGCUAGUUCAGCUAAUGCUAGCUCUACUCAUGUUAGUUCAGCUAAUGCUAGCUCUACUCAUGCUAGUUCACAUAAUGCUUACUCUACUCAUGCUAGUUCAGCUAAUGCUAGCUCUACUGAUUCUAAUUUACCUCAUGCUAGUUCAGCUAAUGCUAGCUCUACUCAUGCUGCUUCAGUUAAUGCUAGCUCUACUCAUGCUAGUUCAGCUAAUGCUAGUUCAGCUAAUGCUAGUUCUACUCGUGCUAGCUCUGCUCAUGCUUGUUCAGUUAAUCCUAGCUCUACUCAUGCUAGUUCAGGUAAUGCUAGCUCUACUCAUGCUAGUUCAGCUAAUGCUAGCUCUACUCAUGCUAGUUCACGUAAUGCUAACUCUACUCAUGCUAGUUCAGCUAAUGCUAGCUCUACUGAUUCUAAUUUACCUCAUGCUAGUUCAGGUAAUGCUAGCUCUACUCAUGCUGGUUCAGUUAAUGCUAGCUCUACUCAUGCUGGUUCAGUUAAUGCUAGCUCUACUCAUGCUAGUUCAGCUAAUGCUAGUUCAGCUAAUGCUAGUUCUACUCGUGCUAGCUCUGCUCAUGCUGGUUCAGUUAAUGCUAGCUCUACUCAUGCUAGUUCAGGUAAUGCUAGCUCUACUCAUGCUGGUUCAGUUAAUGCUAGCUCUACUCAUGCUAGUUCAGGUAAUGCUAGCUCUACUCAUGCUAGUUCAGCUAAUGCUAGCUCUGCUGAUGUUAAUUUACCUCAUGCUAGUUCAGCUAAAACUAGCUCUACUCAUGUUAGUUCAGCUAAUGCUAGCUCUACUCAUGCUAGUUCACGUAAUGCUAACUCUACUCAUGCUAGUUCAGCUAAUGCUAGCUCUACUGAUUCUAAUUUACCUCAUGCUAGUUCAGCUAAUGCUAGCUCUACUCAUGUUAGUUCAGCUAAUGCUAGCUCUACUCAUGCUAGUUCACGUAAUGCUAACUCUACUCAUGCUAGUUCAGCUAAUGCUAGCUCUACUGAUUCUAAUUUACCUCAUGCUAGUUCAGGUAAUGCUAGCUCUACUCAUGUUAGUUCAGGUAAUGCUAGCUCUACUCAUGCUAGCUCUACUCAUGCUAGUUCAGCUAAUACUAGUUCUACUCAUGCUAGCUCUGCUCAUGCUUGUUCACUUCUAG